rnacentral:lncRNA from 1 species
GUAGAGAGGCAAUGCAGCUGUUGGGUUGGGUACAUGCCAGCUGGGGAUCUAUUUCCCAGACAAAAAAAAUCUCAAAUCAGAGUGAAGUAACAAUCAGAUAUUUUGCAUGUCAUUGCUUCGUGCUGCUUUUUCUUCAGCAUUGGUGGCUGCUCUGUGUUGUGAAUCGGGGUUUGUAGGCAGGGAUGGUGCUUUGCGUGUGGUAACGACUUGAAAGCGAAUGAUUGCAGAAGAAAUACAAUGUUUUUGCUUUUGAUAUUUCCUGAGUACUUCAGGGGAUGGGGGUUAGUGUGAGAGUACUGUGUAGCAUAGCAUUGUUUCCCUGUGAGGUCAGCAGGAGGGACCACAAAGCUCUCCAGCACUACGAUGAUGUUAUUUUUUUCUGUUGUUGCCCAGCGUUUUCCAUCCCCUGGGUGCACAAAGCCAGCACAGCCUCGGUGUGCGCAUGACGUGGUGCUUGCAUUGCCAGAAGCCUUUAUAACAAAGCCCCAAUAACAAUGAUUAGACAUCUUGAAACUGCAGAAUGUCGCUGUUGUGCUGUGUGUUCCUGCUCUCCUUUGGGCAUUCGGAGCUCUGCAGUGGCCCCAAGAGGAGUACCCCUGGCUCCAGGCACCUGUCAGAGCCCAGCUUCUGGUCUGCUGCUUUUUACAGUUAUUUAUUACACUCUCCUUGCACUGGUUGUAAGUAGUGGUACUGCCUUGAGGUUUUGGGGAAGUGUGUAGUAGUUCUAUCAAAGCAGCAGACACAGUGUGGGUGUUACAGGACUGCCAGCCCUUUGCACAGGGUGCCUGGUGCACAAGCGUGCAAGGCAGAGCUCUGUCAGCCACCUGUCACCAGCAACCUGGAAGGAGUCAUCGCUGAAUCAUAGAAAAUGAUAAAUGUCUCUGUCUGAUAUGAAACAACAUAUGGGGACCGGCUCUGCCCUCCUCAAAAAGGCAAACAGAACAAAAACCCUUAUCCGAAGCUGAAACAUCAAAGAACCAAAAUAACGACCUAAGCUAUUUAAGAUAUAACUUUUCUGGGCCAUUACUCCACAUCCAUCUUAUUUCCCAGGGUUUUAAAUUCUGGCCUGCAUGCUUUUUCCUCCCAGGAUACAUCUCAAAUUGUUUGGUCACAAAUGCCCCGAAUAACAAAUUGACUUAAUUUAGAUGGCAUUAAAGCUCUUUAACCCAUUUCAAAGGGCAGGGAUGCACUGGAGACCUCCAGGCAUGCAUUUCAAUUAAGGCGGUAAGGAUAUAUAUUUCUUUUCCUUGCCUGAAAACGCCUGACAAUUUUAUCUGUGCAUCAGAUGAAAGUUGAGGGGGAAAGGUUUCUGUUAGUCUUGUUGGGAGUUGGCCAGAAAAAUGUGAAGAAUGUAGAAAGGAAUUAACAGCUGGUGUCCAUUUAAAACUUCAGAGAGGGCAAAGAGGCAGAACGCUUGGCUUUACCUGCUGUCUUCCUCUGGUUUGUGCCCGCGUGCUCCUUGAAGACAAAAUGCAAAGAGGACCUUGACUCAAAAGGGAUAUGACUGCAGAGCUUUGAAAUGGAGUCCUGUGCUCAGUGCUGCAACAGCUGCGGGUGCUGGGCUGUGCUGGCUGGGCUUUGUGCAC